UUCAUACAAUGAAUAUCAAUCUCAGUGGACAGUGGUCCACCAAUGAAUUUCAUGACCUGGCAGCCUAUAGGCUAUAGUGAUUUUUCAUCUAUUUUCUUUUUGUCUACUUUAUUUUCUUCAUAUUUUGCAAUUUUAUUUAAACAUAAAUCGUAGAUGAAACAAAAAUAAGUAAAAUGCUAAAAAGUUGAUGAUUUAAAUUGUUGCUAGACAGUGAUUAAAUUUACGGGAUUAUUGUAAUAUAAUUUAAAGUUUAAACAUUAAUUAAAUUAAUUUCAUAGCUAAGCAAAGACGAAGCUCUCUGUGUAGAGUUUGAGGUCUGAAGAGAUGGAUGCCUCUGAAUCUCCACUCUCCACCUCUCCAUCUCCGCCCCCCUCUUUCAUCCCGCAACGCCAUUUCUACCUCGCUGUAGAUAGGAUCCAAUUCAAGAUGGAAACCCUAUUAGGUCUCCUCGGCAUGGCUGGGAGGCGUCCUUCUCUUCCGAUGAUUGUAUGCUGCAGCACUCGAGACGAGCUCGAUACGAUAUGCUCCAAUCUCUCUAGCCUAUCGACUUAUGUUUCUGUAUCCCCGCUAUACAGCGAUCUUUCUGAAGUCGAGAGGGCAGAGGUUUUGGAUAGGUUUAGGCAGGCCACUAUGAGAUGGAAUAGCUUAGGAAGAGGGGAGGAAGCUGUGGGAGAAGGGGACGAGGAGCGAAAAUCGCAUGUUGUUGUUGUUACCGAUGCCUGCCUUCCGCUUCUUGGAUCUGUUGAGGCGCCGCUUUGUGCUUGCAUGUUGAUCAACUACGAGCUGCCAACAAAGAAGGAGACCUAUAUGAGGCGUAUGACGGCUUGUUUGUCAGCAGAUGGAAUAGUGAUUAGCAUGGUUGUUGGAGGAGAAGUAGUGAUUCUGAAAAACCUUGAAGAGAGCAGUUGUCUUGUCAUAGCUGAAAUGCCUAUAAAUAUCUUUGAGAUGAUUUGAACUGCCAACCUGCUUGGAUUCUCUGAAGAAAUGUAAUGGCACACACGCCUUCUCAAAAGCACAGAUGAAAGUCUCUAAAUAAUUGAAGGUUUUGAUGUCAGAAGAAAUCCCAAGCACACCAACAAGAGCCUUCUUACAGUGUUUUUUUUACCCCUAAUUUCUUCUGUGCAAAUAUGUACUUAAAUUCAAUUGAAUGACUCCCAAGUUUGUCAGUUAGAAAAGGAACAUCAUCAAUUUUCCUUGCUUUGUUGAUCAUCUGUUAGAAUAAAUAUCUUGUUGCUGACACUUCUUUCUGAGCUGCACAGAAAGAUGCGGCAAGAAUAAAUGAGAUGUCCAAUCUUUGGAGAUCAUGUCCAAAUUAGUAAAGUUGGUGUCUUGUUAA